GAGUUUGAUCCUGGCUCAGGACGAACGCUGGCGGCGUGCUUAACACAUGCAAGUCGAACGAAAAGACGGAAAGAGCUUGCUCUUUCCGGAAUUGAGUGGCAAACGGGUGAGUAACACGUAAACAACCUGCCUUCAGGAUGGGGACAACAGACGGAAACGACUGCUAAUACCGAAUAAGUUCCAAGGGCCGCAUGGCCCAUGGAAGAAAAGGUGGCCUCUACCUGUAAGCUAUCGCCUGAAGAGGGGUUUGCGUCUGAUUAGCUGGUUGGAGGGGUAACGGCCCACCAAGGCGACGAUCAGUAGCCGGUCUGAGAGGAUGAACGGCCACACUGGAACUGAGACACGGUCCAGACUCCUACGGGAGGCAGCAGUGGGGAAUAUUGGGCAAUGGGCGCAAGCCUGACCCAGCAACGCCGCGUGAGGGAAGAAGGCUUUCGGGUUGUAAACCUCUGUCCUUGGUGACGAAGGAAGUGACGGUAGCCAAGGAGGAAGCCCCGGCUAACUACGUGCCAGCCGCCGCGGUAAUUC
rnacentral:rRNA from 1 species